GGGACACGUGGUAUCCUGUCUGAAUAUGGGGGGACCAUCCUCCAAGGCUAAAUACUCCUGACUGACCGAUAGUGAACCAGUACCGUGAGGGAAAGGCGAAAAGAACCCCGGCGAGGGGAGUGAAAAAGAACCUGAAACCGUGUACGUACAAGCAGUGGGAGCACGCUUAGGCGUGUGACUGCGUACCUUUUGUAUAAUGGGUCAGCGACUUAUAUUCUGUAGCAAGGUUAACCGAAUAGGGGAGCCGAAGGGAAACCGAGUCUUAACUGGGCGUUAAGUUGCAGGGUAUAGACCCGAAACCCGGUGAUCUAGCCAUGGGCAGGUUGAAGGUUGGGUAACACUAACUGGAGGACCGAACCGACUAAUGUUGAAAAAUUAGCGGAUGACUUGUGGCUGGGGGUGAAAGGCCAAUCAAACCGGGAGAUAGCUGGUUCUCCCCGAAAGCUAUUUAGGUAGCGCCUCGUGAAUUCAUCUCCGGGGGUAGAGCACUGUUUCGGCAAGGGGGUCAUCCCGACUUACCAACCCGAUGCAAACUGCGAAUACCGGAGAAUGUUAUCACGGGAGACACACGGCGGGUGCUAACGUCCGUCGUGAAGAGGGAAACAACCCAGACCGCCAGCUAAGGUCCCAAAGUCAUGGUUAAGUGGGAAACGAUGUGGGAAGGCCCAGACAGCCAGGAUGUUGGCUUAGAAGCAGCCAUCAUUUAAAGAAAGCGUAAUAGCUCACUGGUCGAGUCGGCCUGCGCGGAAGAUGUAACGGGGCUAAACCAUGCACCGAAGCU
rnacentral:rRNA from 1 species